UGAUGCAUUACUUUUACUGCCUUUGUUUAGAUCAUAUACCUUGGGAAGUCUGUUGAACCAACAAUAUAUGAUCUUUUGGGUGAUCAAGAGGUUGAAAUCUGCUUGUUGAAAAAUGGAAAACCAUCAUGGACGAAGAAGAAGUUUCUUUGCUCCAAAGUCAGGUUGUUGCGUCUUAAGACUGGCUCGAGGUGACAAAAUAUGCUGGAUUGGUCUGUGCUUAGGCCCGUCAAGAAUUAAUUCAAGAUAUGUUUAAGGUCUGGCAAGAUUCUCAGCAAGGAACUCUUACUGGUGGCAUGAUAAAGGAGCUACUUAUUUCCUUCAAAAAGGCUACUAGAUAAAAGCCUCAACGGAUUAUAUUCUACAGGUAUG